UACGGGGGGUGCAAGCGUUGUCCGGAAUUAUUGGGCGUAAAGAGCGUGUAGGCGGCCAUGCAGGUCCGUUGUGAAAACUCGAGGCUCAACCUCGAGACGCCGAUGGAAACCGCAUGGCUAGAGUCCGGAAGAGGAGAGUGGAAUUCCUGGUGUAGCGGUGAAAUGCGCAGAUAUCAGGAAGAACACCCGUGGCUAAGGCGGCUCUCUAGUACGGUACUGACGCUGAGACGCGAAAGCGUGGGGAGCGAACAGG
rnacentral:rRNA from 1 species